UACGUAUGGAGCAAGCGUUAUCCGGAUUUACUGGGUGUAAAGGGAGCGCAGGCGGUCUGGCAAGUCUGAUGCGAAAGGCCGGGGCUCAACUCCGGGACUGCAUUGGAAACUGUCAGACUGGAGUGUCGGAGAGGUAAGCGGAAUUCCUAGUGUAGCGGUGAAAUGCGUAGAUAUUAGGAGGAACACCAGUGGCGAAGGCGGCUUACUGGACGAUGACUGACGCUGAGGCUCGAAAGCGUGGGGAGCAAACAGG
rnacentral:rRNA from 1 species